UGUAUUAACACCCAGCUCCCCUCGCCUGCUGCCAGCUGGUCCAGGUUUAGUAUACCACGGGAGAACACCUGACUCAUUUGGGCUUUCCUAAAUGACAGUUAAACACAGAUAUUAAGUCAGGUAACAUCUAGUUGUAAUAUUUUGGUUCACUCAAAUAUUUCAUUUAUUCCUGAACAAAUCGGUUUGACUUUUUAAAGUUAAGCCUAAAAAUACAAUAGUUUGAUUAAACUGUAUUGUCUUACCUGAGAUCUGGAGAGUAUUUGAAAAGGGAUACUUUGCUUACAUUCCUUGUGUAAAUGUGCUAUACGUGUUUGAACAUUUUAGAACCAGACUAAGAUUUUUUUUUAAUAUGCAACAGCCUUUAAUAUGAAAAGUGAAGAGUAAUAGAGAAAUCAGGAGGAAAAAAAAAGAAAACAUACUUCGAGUCCGUUUUUUUUUCUUCCUUCGCCGCUCUGUGAUUCACGCUGUCACCUGACUUCGGACACAGCUGUUCUUUGUUCGACUCCCUCUAGUGGUCUGGAUCACUUCUGUUUUCAGCAUUUUUUGUUUGCAUCUCUUUUUUGUUGCAUGUGUUUUUCUCGUCUUUGCUGGGUGUUUGUACCUGUUGGCCACCGUAAAAUACAGUGGUGAAAGUAAAUAUACCUUCAAAUACUGGCAUCUGUAGGUUCCAGUAUUUUUACUGUAAAUUUAGUUUUACUACUGCCAAGAAAACUGUAAUGAUACUUUUUAAAGUACAGUCUUAGUUUUACGAUAGAACAUUAAUACCUGACCCAGUGUAGGCUUCUUAGAAGUGCUACAAUUGGUGCGGUUCUAAAAUGCAUAAUCUGAACUUCACAUAACACAGAAGAGGAUGUGAUAAGCAACCUUCAGAACAGAAUUUUUAUUUAAAGGCACCACUAUGCCUCAAACCACAUAUUUCCAGUAUAUUCAAACGUUCAAAACAAAUAACACAAAACCAUUCCUCAGAGAACUGGUAAAAGGCCUUCAAAGUCAAUAUAUAGUUUCACUAACACUGGAAUAAAAAUGUAAGACUUUCAGUUUACAGCGACAUAAACUGGGUUUAACUCAUUAAUUUCUACAAUAUUAUGAAUUUAACACAUUGUUCUUAAAGAAAUGUCCAUGCUUUGGUUAUCACUAAACAAAUCAAAGAAAAAUGACUUCCAAAAUCUAAAAUUCAACAGGGCUGAAAUAAUGUGGAAUUCUAGUAUUAACAGGGUUUUAAAAUGUGAACUAUUAAUGGUUUUCAAGAGUCCAAGUGGCACUUACUUUAUUAGAUGCAGAUGAAGGCACCGUCCAACAUGGAAAAAGAAAAGACAAUAUAAUUUAGAUCCUAAAUAAUAUGGAAACAGAAAUAUUUCAAAUAAAAGAAAAGGACAACAACUAACCUGAAUGAGAUGCCACUCAAAGUCCAAGUUUUUGAUCCUGAUGAAGACCUGUUUCUCUUUUUUUUUUAGCCAUUUUAGUUUACAGAGUUUUUUGUAAUGAAGCAAAAAAACAUGUGAAGCUGCUUCAUGGCAUUAUUCACCUGCUCGCCCUCAUCAUCAGUAUCAUAGGGAUUGUAGCUGUGUUUGACUUUCACAGAGCAGCCAAGAUCCCAGACAUGUACUCUCUUCACAGCUGGUGUGGCAUGGCCACCCUAAUCUUCUUCUGCUUACAGGUAUAAAUGCACACACUCACAUGCUUGCAGUGCCUUGCAAAAACUAUUUUAAUGCUUUUGACUCUUCGAUAAUGUGUACAACCACAAACAAAGUAGUGCACAAAUGAAAACAAUUCAUUUCAUUUGAUACCAUUUAAUAUUAAUACCAUGGUAUUAGAUGUACUAAUAAAGUGAAAAGUUUGGCAUGUAAUUCUAUCAAACUCCCUGUAGUCUUAUACCACCAAUUAAAAUAGUGUACAACUGAUUUCUUUUCAUAGUUGUCCAAUGGCACUGAUCGCAAAUGACAUCAAACCAGGCACAUGCAGAGAGGGCGGGGAGGUACUAGGGGUGCUUGAGCACCUGCCCCGUUUGCUCCUUGCC